rnacentral:rRNA from 1 species
AUGUCUUCUUCAAGCUCCCGCGGUACCUCGCGGAUGCAGAGCCCGGCGAGCGUGGAGAUGCCUAUCUUCGUCUAUCUGCGGUGUCGGGCGGCUGUUGAUCGGAGGGUUUCUCACACAUUGAGGAACCAGAAUCAUCUGCUCUACGUGUGCGGCGAGAAUGGGGUGAAAUGUUUCUUCCUUUGGGUGGAUGCUCUGGCCAAGACUCUGAUGAAUGAACUGCAAGAAGAGCAUGAAGAAUGGUUGCGCAUGCUGCCACGAACGACAGUGGCCGCAGCACGAGCUCCGGAAGAAGAGAUGGAGGGCGAACCACACACUGACAGAGAGCUAGCUGUUGAGCUUAGGAUGCUGAAGCAGAAGGUUAGGAAGCUUGAAGAUCAAGCACAAAUACUCAGUUGCAAUUACUUUUCGGCAUUUGUAGCUAUCGUAAUCGCACUGGGUAUAAUGUUGAAAUUGUAUGGAGAGGCAUGA